CAGCUCUGGUUAGGGGGCUGUGGGAUUCCAGCUGUGCUCCUUCCUGUGCCUCUGCUGGGAGAGGAAUCCCCUCCUGCUCUGGGGUGUUGGGGCCUUGGUUUGACACCCCUGGGAGCCAUUGCUUGUAUUUUUCCUGGCUUCUGCCAGGAUUUUGCUGAUUGUGGUAUUUUCCCCACAGCUUCUUCUCUUGAUGUGGGGAUAUUUUUAAAAUCUGCGGUGUGCUGGUGUUUGAAAGGGCCACCACAUCCUCUGCUGUGGACAGCAUUCAAAAUUCAGAAUACUGUGCCUUAUUUCAGGGAAGAAAGUAGGAUAAAAUAAAUAAUAAUAAAAAAAAAACCCAAAAAAACAAAUGGCAGCCAGUUUAGAAGAAAUCUGUAUUAUUUAGUGAAAGGAUCAGGAUUUCACUGGUGGUCUGUGUAUUUGUAAGUCUUUGGAGGUCAUGAGCUGUUCUGGUGUGGUAUCAGGUGCUGUUCGUCUUGCUUAGGUAAUCAACCACAAUUGCAUUCAGGUGCCAGCAUCUUCAAACCUAGCAGCACUAUGGGGCAGAGGAGAAUAAAUGUGAGUGGGAUGAGAAGUGAGCAAGAAAUUGAGUUGCUUCAGUCUUGUGGAAUUCCUACAUGCUGCUAUUGCUAGAGCUGUGUUAGGAGAGUCCUGUUUUGCCUUUUUUUCCACAGGCAUGGAUGAGCAGCUGCUGGUCUUGGACUCCAUUGCAGAGUUGCUGGAUGUGCACAGACGUGUUCAGCUUUGCCAGGGACUUAUUCCCAAGUGCAGUUGUGUUCACAGCUUCCUCAGACUCAAGAUCAGAAACUAAAGAAAGAAGACAUGUAUCAGUCCCCUGCAACUGAAGGGCAAAGCUUAGUCUAACAAGAGCUAAAUAACGCACAAAUACGUACGGGUACUGUCGCAGCUUUGAAGUCCCAUCUGGGAGAAUGAGGCCUCCUGCAAGUCUGAUACUCUACUGGAGGUUAUCUGGAGUUGAUGAAUUACAAACACAAAGUGAUGUCUUUUAAUGAGCAGCAGCAUCUUAACUGCUGACCUACUUGCCCAAUAGAAAGUGACACGGGAGUUGCAAGUUUUCUCCUUCUCAUCUGCUGUAAGUGAAGCUCUCCAGCUUUGAAGCUAUCCAGCCUGACCCUUUGUCAUCAGUGGUUUGCAGAUGCUUGAGGCACCUCGCUUCACAAGUGGCCCCAAGCACAUGGAUGAUUGGAUUUUGGACCAGGUCUCUGGGGGUGAUGCUCUUGGACUGAUCACCCUCCUGCAAGCAGCUAAGGACAUGUACAUGCCACUGUGAGAGGAGGAAUAUAUAUGCUUUAGGAAAGGACUUUAUGGCAAGUAAAAACCAUGGAAAUAUCAGCUCUCAUUAAGGAGCACCUGCCCUUGGAACAGAUUAUAUUCUGAGCUGCAUUGGACAAGGACUUAUUGGAAGAUAAAUGGAAGUCAAUACUGGGCUUUUUCAAACACCGGCUCUUAAGGUUUUGCUUGUGAUCACAUGGAUGUGCUGUUCAGAGGGACUGCCAUACUCAGGUGGUCAAGUGGUUCUGGGGGCCAGAGAUGCCUCGGCAAAAUGGUGGCAGGCCUGGCUGGUCACUUGCUGGUGGAUGGAGACGUUGCAUUCAAGGUCACACCGAGUGCACGGUGGCACUGAAGUCGAACAGUUUCAGUUUGACCCUGGUUGUGCAGGGCCACUCUUACAGAGCUGGGAGCAGAGAAUGAGCAGCCCUCCAGGUCUCCAUCCUGCAUUGAAAGGUGACUGUGCUUUGUGGCUUGGUGCAAUGGGACCCGAGUGGUUACUUGGGAAGAAACAUCUCUCACAUGGUAGGAGAUCCAGCAAGCAAAUGGCAACUUAAUUUCUGCCUAUGGAGAGUUAUGUGAGGUUUCCAGCCCCAUCCAGCUCAUCCCAUGCUCUCACCUGCUGAACCUGACACCAGAGAUCUCUUGGCUGCUGUGGGCAGAGGAGGACAGAGCUGGAUAGAAGAAAUGGAGCUGUUUUGCCUAGAUCUGCUGCUGUCGUACCUGGGGAAAGCUGCCCCAUCUCUGGGAAGUCCCUUUUCCAGUGGCAAAGCAUGGAUGACGGUGCCAACUUCUUCUGCAGAUGGCUGUAAGCUCAGGACCUUCAGUGUCAACAUCCCUGUGGGUGCUGUCACUGCUGGAGUGAGCCAUCAGCUGAGCCACACAUCCAGAAAUCUCAUACUGAUGGGAGUAUUCUCAGCAUCACAUCUCUAAUGAGCAUCGUGUUAGUGGUGUCCCCAGCUACAGACUUUCUCCUGCUGAAGGAUGCAGGAUGCCAGUUUCUGGCUCUGAGAGGGUCCUGAGCUGCCCCCUCUGUUGGCCUAUCUAUGGUCCACCCCCAGCACCAAUGGGAAUCCAGACAGCAACUCCCAAACACUGGCCAUGAUGGAUAGGGGCUUGGAAAAAGGAUCCUCACACCACUCUGGAGAUCAGAAGAGAUGUGGGACAGCCCAGUGAACGUGCACAGGGCAUCUGUGCUGCUGCCCUUGGCAGAGCAGGGAAAGCUGGGAAGGAAAGCUCAAUACCUCUGCUUGCUGCUACGUGUUUGUGUGGUGGAGGUGAGCAUAGGAAAAACAAAUGUCUCCAUUUCAAAUAUGCUUCACUUGAUCCUCUCUCACCCCUGGAACAGGGGCUGCUUUGCUGUCCUGCUCAAUUGAGUGGUGAAGGGACAAUGGUGCUGCUCUGCACUGGGGGGCUCCCUGGGGCCUGGGGGGAAACUUUCUUCAUGGGAGGGAAUGGGUGUUAUGGCUCCUUCUCUCUCAGACUUUCUACCAGGGACAGGAUAAAAACUGAAAACAGCUCUCUAGAGCUGCCUGGGGAAAUGACACUGGACCUCUUUCCUCAGAGGCAGGGAAGACAUGUUCAAAAUGGAAAAACCUGUGGAGAAACCAAAUCCUUUGUUCUUAAAACCUUUCCACGGCUCUCUUCAGCUCAUGAGAUCAGCCUUGGACACAAGUGUCUUGGAUGCCUGGAUCAGUCUUGGAAUAUCCUUUGGGUACUUCUAAAUUACAAACUCUGGUUCCAUGGUCCUGACCCUCCUCACAGCCUUGCACUCUCUCCCUAUAGUGGUGACCAUUCUCCCCUCUCAGAUGUCACUGGAAAACAUUGCUUACCCUCAGUGCAUCUCCCUCCCCCCUUCACCAUGAUUACCCUGAGCUGGAAUUGCACUCGUGGGAGCCUGGCUUUCCUGGGAAGCAGGUGCGGGCUUCUGUGGCGUGGGAUAACGGGCUCCAGCCCCGGCCUGGGACAGGGUGCCCUGGUGACAGGAGCGUGUCCCUCUCUGCUGCUGCCCCGGGCUGACAAGGGUGCCAAUGAGCUGUGGUGGCAGUGCCACUGCCCCGCCCCACUGCCACCACAGCUGGCAGGCAGGGCUGGCUCUGCCACAGCUGACCUGUGCCCCUCCAGAGCCCAUGAUCUGAAAGACAAGGUGCCAUUGCCCACCCCAGCAAGGCAUGGAGCUGAAUGGCUCUGGGGCCCACAGGUGCCGUGUGGGGACCUGGGUUUGUCCUGCUUCUGAGAAGUGCUUGGUAAAGAGGCAAUGCUUUAUCACCCUCUGUGACACUGCUGCUUUACAGUGCUGUGGUUUACAGUAUGUUUAGAAAGCUGGAUCAGUCUCCAUCCAUCUCUUACCUUCUAACCUGCAACAGCUGCUCGUUGCUACAUUUGUCUUUGUGAACAAGAAGAGUGAUAAUUCUCCACUCAGAUUCCAGCUGGGAGAACAUGCUUAAACAUGAUCAACUUUCAUUGUGUAUUUGAUGAAAGACAGACAUAGAUGUCAUUGCUUCCACUUGCUUCAACAGGAUCAAUCCAGGAUUACCAGGGUGCCAUAAGGGUGGUGCCCAGAAGUCUAUUUAGAUUAGAUACAGCAACAAAAUAUUGGAAUCUACAGCUUCAGAUAAAUGACUCAAUAUGCCCAGGUCAAGAGGUUACUGAAGUCAGGUGAGAUCUGAGACCUAUUUAUCACUGCCUGAGCUCAAAUUAUGUUUUAAAUAUUGUCACAAAUGAAAAACUGCUGCCAGAUGGUGUCAUGUUAAUUCAUCUCACUGUACUCAGAAACUGUCCUUCAGUUCCAUCAUGGUGCCUGUUAUCCUGCAUCAGUGGGGUACCUGUCAGAGAACCUGCUUUUGCUGAGAAGCAGGGGCUCUGCUCAGCCCUUGCUUCCUGCCUGCAAGAUGGAUGUGUCACAUUUCUGUGGUGUGUGGCUACAGAGACCUGUACAGCACCUAUGGGGCUGAGACACGGCUCUUCUUGGAAAGCAGUGCAUGUUGGGUGGUAAGAGAUAUAAGGCUUCGUUAGCUCUUAGUUGAUUGAGAAAUCUGCUAUUCUACCCACCUGGUCCAGGGAAAUGGAUUUAUUGGUCUGUACAAAGAGGCAUAUGGGGAUGAAGACUUUGACCCUGGUGCAUUAGUGCAAAGGGGCUUGAAGCUCUCCCAUGCACUGCACAGGGCUGGCACAACUGUCCUGUUCUUCUCCUCUGCUCCCAUUUCCUUUUCAGGACUGUAAGAAGUGUGCCACCCUGCUUAUCCCUGUGGUCCCCUGGGCAAAGGUUGGGGUAUGUUGUAGUUUACAGUGUUCAAGGGAACAUAAAAUGACAUCGAUCAAUUUUAUGCUUCUCCUCUCUCCCUCGCACAUCUGCUCUUCUUCCCGAGCCCUGCCUUCAGCUCUGGCUUCAAGCACAGUGCUUGAGCCCUCCAGCAGCCGUGGGAUGAGGGUGUCCCUGGAUCAGGCUUUCCUCCACUCUGACGUGCCUUUAUGCUGGCUGCCUCAGAUCUCCCUGCAAGCUGGGUUACAGCCAAGGCUCUCCCCAGCAAACCUGGCCUCCUGGUUCCAGGGUGCCUGAGAACUCUGCUUCCCAUGACUAUCACACACUGCUCUGAGAGGCAGAGAGUUGGGCCUGAGUAAGGGCAUAAUGUGUUUGGACUGAUCACUCACUACCAAGCCAGAGAACCUCAGACUCUCUCAUCCCCAAAAGCCUGUCUCCAACUCUCUUUUUCCUGGUUGUAUGAGUAGAGAAAAAUACAGGACUUCUCUAAAGUCUACCAUAGCUAGAGGGGUUCUUCUAAGUGCAGAGGUCAUGACAAGUCACUAUCUUGUGGUAGUGGUAAAACCAGAAGAGCGGAGUGAUGCUCAGAGCUCUGCUCUGUGCCCUGUGCAAGGGGUAGUUUGAGCUGAAAACUACUGCAGUAGCAAGGGCAUUGUUGCUUGAGCAGGGGAAGAAACCAAAAGCUCAAGGAUGGUUAAUCUUCUUGUGGGAAGGCAUUACCGUGCCUCCUGGGUUGGCUUAUUUCUGUGCUAGCACUGGAAAUGGUAUUGCACUGGAUGAAGAGAAUACAGUGUUGUUUUUCCUACCUUGUGCUACUGCAAUAGGCUCUG